ACACGGUCCAGACUCCUACGGGAGGCAGCAGUGGGGAAUAUUGGACAAUGGGCGAAAGCCUGAUCCAGCCAUGCCGCGUGUGUGAAGAAGGUCUUCGGAUUGUAAAGCACUUUAAGUUGGGAGGAAGGGCAUUAACCUAAUACGUUGGUGUCUUGACGUUACCGACAGAAUAAGCACCGGCUAACUCUGUGCCAGCAGCCGCGGUAAUACAGAGGGUGCAAGCGUUAAUCGGAAUUACUGGGCGUAAAGCGCGCGUAGGUGGUUCGUUAAGUUGGAUGUGAAAUCCCCGGGCUCAACCUGGGAACUGCAUUCAAAACUGACGAGCUAGAGUAUGGUAGAGGGUGGUGGAAUUUCCUGUGUAGCGGUGAAAUGCGUAGAUAUAGAAAGGAACACCAGUGGCGAAGGCGACCACCUGGACUGAUACUGACACUGANGUGCGAAGGCGUGGGGAGCAAACAGGAUUAGAUACCCUGGU
rnacentral:rRNA from 1 species